UACGGAAGGCAGCAGUGGGGAAUAUUGCACAAUGGGCGCAAGCCUGAUGCAGCCAUGCCGCGUGUAUGAAGAAGGCCUUCGGGUUGUAAAGUACUUUCAGUCGUGAGGAAGGUGUUAAGGUUAAUAACCUUAGCAAUUGACGUUAGCGACAGAAGAAGCACCGGCUAACUCCGUGCCAGCAGCCGCGGUAAUACGGAGGGUGCGAGCGUUAAUCGGAAUUACUGGGCGUAAAGGGCACGCAGGCGGUUAAUUAAGUUGGAUGUGAAAUCCCCGGGCUUAACCUGGGAAUGGCAUUCAAGACUGGUUAGCUAGAGUCUUGUAGAGGGGGUAGAAUUCCAUGUGUAGCGGUGAAAUGCGUAGAGAUGUGGAGGAAUACCGGUGGCGAAGGCGGCCCCUAGCAAAGACUGACGCUCAUGUGCGAAAGCGUGGGGAGCAAACAGGGAUUAGAUACC
rnacentral:rRNA from 1 species